GGGGAAUCUUGCGCAAUGGGCGAAAGCCUGACGCAGCAACGCCGCGUGCGGGAUGACGGCCUUCGUGGUUGUAAACCGCUUUCAGCAGGGACGAAACUGACGGUACCUGCAGAAGAAGCCCCGGCUAACUACGUGCCAGCAGCCGCGGUAAUACGUAGGGGGCAAGCGUUGUCCGGAUUCAUUGGGCGUAAAGAGCUCGUAGGCGGUUCAGUAAGUCAGGUGUUAAAGCUCCGAGCUCAACUCGGAGAGGCCAUCUGAUACUGCUGUGACUAGAAUCCAGUAGGGGAGCGUGGAAUUCCUGGUGUAGCGGUGAAAUGCGCAGAUAUCAGGAGGAACACCAGCGGCGAAGGCGGCGCUCUGGGCUGAGAUUGACGCUGAGGAGCGAAAGUGUGGGUAGCAAAC
rnacentral:rRNA from 1 species